UACGUAGGGUGCGAGCGUUGCCCGGAUUUAUUGGGCGUAAAGGGCGCGUAGGCGGCUCGGCACGUCCGUUGUGAAAUCGCCCGGCUCAACUGGGCGGGGGCGGCGGAUACGGCCGAGCUGGAGCAAGCUAGGGGGUAAUGGAAUUCCCGGUGUAGUGGUGGAAUGCGUAGAUAUCGGGAGGAACACCAGUGGCGAAGGCGGUUACCUGGAGCUUUGCUGACGCUGAUGCGCGAAAGCGUGGGGAGCGAACAGG
rnacentral:rRNA from 1 species